GGAAACGAUGACGAUUGUCGUAGCGGUGAUAUCGCGCAUGGGCAGGAGGGAAUAGCCCUCCGGAAACCGCCGCCCAUGCGCCGAAACAGGUCCCUGACGGGGCCUUUUUUUAUGCCCCG
rnacentral:sRNA from 14 species